AGAGUGAGAGGGAGAGAAAACAACUGAGAGGGAGAGAGGGGUCCCCCCACCUCUAAUAAAGGCCAUUUUGCAGAUAGCCCCCUCAACUUUUCAUCCAUUACACAGCCCUCACUGGGCUGUUUUCGCAGCGAGGGACCGGUCCCAGGUCGGGGAGACCGGUCCCCGAAGGCCUCCUAUUCGGGCAGAGGGAAUUUCGUGUUUGGGAACCGGUCCUUACCUGAGAGAUCGGUCCCCGGGAGACCGGUCCUUGGCUGAGAGACCGGUUCCCGAGAGUAGUAUUUUCGGGACUUAGCCAAAUUUCGGCUAAUCACGCGGGGCCAACGUUCGGGAACCGGUCCCUGCCUGCCAGAGACCGGUUGCACCGAGGACCCCCGCCAGCCCAGCCUGAUGGGACUGGUCCCUCCCUGCCAGGGACCGGUCCCCGAGAGCAAAUUCUGCUCCAGUGCAGAUUUCGCACUGCAGCUCUCGCGGACUCUUCCUCAAUGCAUUCUAGGCCUUCUAAUCACCUUUGGGCUUUCCGAAGCCCACACCCUCGACAAACAGUCGAUUCUGAAUGAAGUCCAAUCCUCGGCCUUCGAGAAUUUACUUCCUCACAGUCCCAGAAAACCAGCUCUCGGGAACCGGUCCCUGUGGGGAGAGACCGGUCCCCGAGAGACCGGUCUCCCUGGGAGAGACCGGUUGCGUCGCGCGUGCGCCUUGCUGCCCGCGGGGAGAGCUCUCUUGGACCGGUCCUAGGUCGGGGAGACCGGUCCCCGAACCCGAAAUCUGCCCAGUUUGGGCAGUUCAAUAAAGUGAAAGUUGAGGGGCCUAUUUGCAUUUGUGCAACCCAAUGGUUAAGUGGAGGGC
rnacentral:lncRNA from 1 species